rnacentral:tRNA from 1 species
GUCGCUAUAGCUCAGUUGGUGAGAGCGCCGAGCUGAUACCUCGGAGGUCGAAGGUUCAAUUCCUUCUGGCGGCA